rnacentral:rRNA from 1 species
GAUGAACGCCGACAGAAUGCUUAACACAUGCAAGUCGAUUCAAGUUACCUUCGGGUAAUGAGGAUGGCGGACGGGUGAGUAACGCGUAAGGAACUUGCCUCUUGGUCUGGGACAACUGUUGGAAACGACAGCUAAUACCGGAUAUUAUGAGAUUCUCGCAUGGGAAACUUAUGAAAGCUAUAUGCGCCAAGAGAGAGCCUUGCGUUCCAUUAGCUAGUUGGUGGGGUAACGGCCCACCAAGGCGACGAUGGAUAGCCGGCCUGAGAGGGUGAACGGCCACAAGGGGACUGAGACACGGCCCUUACUCCUACGGGAGGCAGCAGUGGGGAAUAUUGGACAAUGGGCCACAAGCCUGAUCCAGCAAUUCUGUGUGCACGAUGAAGGUCUUCGGAUUGUAAAGUGCUUUCAGUUGGGAAGAAGAAAGUGACGGUACCAACAGAAGAAGCGACGGCUAAAUACGUGCCAGCAGCCGCGGUAAUACGUAUGUCGCAAGCGUUAUCCGGAUUUAUUGGGCGUAAAGCGCGUCUAGGCGGAAAAAUAAGUCUGAUGUUAAAAUGCGGGGCUCAACUCCGUAUUGCGUUGGAAACUGUUUUUCUAGAGUACUGGAGAGGUGGGCGGAACUACAAGUGUAGAGGUGAAAUUCGUAGAUAUUUGUAGGAAUGCCGAUGGAGAAGUCAGCUCACUGGACAGAUACUGACGCUAAAGCGCGAAAGCGUGGGGAGCAAACAGGAUUAGAUACCCUGGUAGUCCACGCCGUAAACGAUGAUCACUAG